GAUGAAGAACGUAGCGAAAUGCGAUAAGUAGUGUGAAUUGCAGAAUUCAGUGAAUCAUCGAAUCUUUGAACGCACAUUGCGCCCGCCAGUAUUCUGGCGGGCAUGCCUGUUCGAGCGUCAUUUCAACCAUCAAGCCCCCGGCUUGUGUUGGGGACCUGCGGCUGCCGCAGGCCCUGAAAACCAGUGGCGGGCUCGCUGUCACACCGAGCGUAGUAGAUUUUCAUCUCGCUCAGGGCGUGCUGCGGGUUCCGGCCGUAAAAAGCCUUAUUUACCCAAGGUUGACCUCGGAUCAGGUAGGAAGACCCGCUGAACUUAAGCAUAUCAAUAAGCGGAGGA
rnacentral:misc_RNA from 1 species